UACGGAGGAUGCAAGCGUUAUCCGGAUUUAUUAGGUUUAAAGGGUGCGUAGGUGGGCGUUUAAGUCAGUGGUUAAAGCCAAUAGCUUAACUAUUGUAUGCCAUUGAAACUGGAUGUCUUGAAUAGGGUAGAGGUAGGCGGAAUGUGUUGUGUAGCGGUGAAAUGCUUAGAUAUAACACAGAACACCGAUUGCGAAGGCAGCUUACUAAUCCAUCAUUGACGCUGAGGCACGAAAGCGUGGGGAUCAAACAGGAUUAGAUACCCU
rnacentral:rRNA from 1 species